rnacentral:misc_RNA from 1 species
GAUGAAGAACGUAGCGAAAUGGGAUACGUAAUGUGAAUUGCAGAAUUCAGUGAAUCAUCGAGUCUUUGAACGCACAUUGCGCCCCCUGGUAUUCCGGGGGGCAUGCCUGUCCGAGCGUCAUUGCUGCCCUCAAGCACGGCUUGUGUGUUGGGCCUCCGUCCUCCUCCCGGGGGACGGGCCCGAAAGGCAGCGGCGGCACCGCGUCCGGUCCUCGAGCGUAUGGGGCUUCGUCACCCGCUCUUGUAGGCCCGGCCGGCGCUUGCCGACACAUCAAUCUUUUUUCCAGGUUGACCUCGGAUCAGGCAGGGAUACCCGCUGAACUUAAGCAUAUCAAUAAGCGGAGGA